UUAGCUCCAAAACUAGAUAUCGAUUCUUUCCCUGAAAUUACUGUAGAAAGACUAUGCCCAUUCAUCUCAAGGUAAGAACUUUUGUCCACAUUAACGGGUGUAUGAGAUGAGAAAUGGCGAGGAGAUGAUGAGCUCAAAACAUCGUUUGCACUAACAGCAGCCUCACCAGUAAAUUGCCGUUCAUCGUAAUCUUCUUGCACUUCUUCACUGAACACAGACCCUUUCAACAAUGGAUCAGACUGUAAUAAUGGAAUCGAAAUUUUGGCACUUUCGGCUUCCAGUACACCCAUCAUUUGUAAUUCAUGCAUUUUUGCAGUAGGCUCAAAUUGAUGUUCUCGCAUUAAAUUUUCCCAAGGAGAACGUAAGGACCUCAUUUCCGUAGUACUGUAAAAACUAAUGUUACAGCCAAUUGGAAAUGUAUAUAACCAUUCGGUAUCCUCCUUUAAAUUAUUCAAAAAGGAAGACACUGAGAAGUUUGAAACUGAUGACGUUAAGGAAUUUGGUAUUACAUUAGAAGGGGAAACGGAAGAAGAAAUUCUGCUGGUUAGUUGGGAUCUUUUUUUGUUUUUCACCGGAUUUUUGUAUCGAACAAUAGGCGUUAGAAAUAAAGGAACUUUUCCUAA